AACGAACGCUGGCGGCAUGCCUAACACAUGCAAGUCGAACGAGACCUUCGGGUCUAGUGGCGCACGGGUGCGUAACGCGUGGGAACCUGCCCUUAGGUUCGGAAUAACUCCCCGAAAGGGGUGCUAAUACCGGAUAAUGUCUUCGGACCAAAGAUUUAUCGCCUUUGGAUGGGCCCGCGUUGGAUUAGCUAGUUGGUAGGGUAAAAGCCUACCAAGGCGACGAUCCAUAGCUGGUCUGAGAGGAUGAUCAGCCACACUGGGACUGAGACACGGCCCAGACCCCUGCGGGAGGAAGAGGGGGGAAAUAUUGAAAAGGGGGAGAAGGCCUAACCAAGCAGUGCCGCGUGAGUAAGAAGGCCUUUGGGGUUGAAAAGCUUUUUCACCGGGAAUGAAAAGGAGAGCACGGGGAAAAUGGCCCCCGGCAAGCCCCGUC
rnacentral:rRNA from 1 species